CCUACGGGUGGCAGCAGUGAGGGAUAUUGGUCAAUGGGGGAAACCCUGAACCAGCAACGCCGCGUGAGGGAAGACGGUUUUCGGAUUGUAAACCUCUGUCCUCUGUGAAGAUAAUGACGGUACCUCUUGAAUAAGCCACGGCUAACUACGUGCCAGCAGCCGCGGUAAUACGUAGGUGGCAAGCGUUGUCCGGAUUUACUGGGUGUAAAGGGCGUGCAGCCGGGAAGACAAGUCAGAUGUGAAAUCCCGCGGCUCAACCGCGGAACUGCAUUUGAAACUGUUUUUCUUGAGUACCGGAGAGGUCAUCGGAAUUCCUUGUGUAGCGGUGAAAUGCGUAGAUAUAAGGAAGAACACCAGUGGCGAAGGCGGAUGACUGGACGGCAACUGACGGUGAGGCGCGAAAGCGUGGGGAGCAAACAGGAUUAGAUACCCUAGUAGUC
rnacentral:rRNA from 1 species